rnacentral:rRNA from 1 species
AAUCUGGUUGAUCCUGCCAGUAGUCAUAUGCUUGUCUCAAAGAUUAAGCCAUGCAUGUGUAAGUAUAAGUAUUAUACGGCGAAACUGCGAAUGGCUCAUUAAAACAGUUAUGAUUUAUUUGAUAAUCGAAAGUUACAUGGAUAACCGUGACAAAUUACAGCUAAUACAUGCAGUCAGACCUGGUCCAAGGGUCGUAAUUAUUAGUACCAAACCAAUUCCGCAAGGAAUGUGAUGAAUCAUAGUAAUCGAACGAAUCGCAGGUAUAUGCGAUAAGUCAUUCAAGUUUCUGCCCUAUCAGCUUUGGAUGGUAGUGUAUUGGACUACCAUGGCAGUCACGGGUAACGGAGAAUUAGGGUUCGAUUCCGGAGAGGGAGCCUGAGAAACGGCUACCACAUCUACGGAAGGCAGCAGGCGCGAAAAUUGCCCAAUCCUGACACGGGGAGGCAGUGACAAGAAAUAACAACUCUAGGUUUUCUUAGAAGUGUAAUGAGGAUAAUUUACAAACCUUACCAAAUGCAAUUGGAGGGCAAGUCUGGUGCCAGCAGCCGCGGUAAUUCCAGCUCCAAUAGCGUAUAUUAAAGUUGUUGCAGUUAAAAAGCUCGUAGUUGAAAUUCUGAUUGUUCGGGUUUUUAGCCUUUAGGCAGAAAUACCGACAGUCAUCCGCUUGCAAACAUAGCUUGAUCUUAACCGAUUAACUAUGUGAGUAAGCACUUUACCUUGAGAAAAACAGAGUGUUCCAGGCAGGUUUGUCCGGAAUGCAUUAGCAUGGAAUAAUAGAACAUGACUGAAGUCAAUUUAUUGGUUAAAGACUUUAGUAAUGAUUAAUAGGAACAGUCGGGGGCAUUCGUACUCAGCAGUCAGAGGUGAAAUUCUAAGAUUUGCUGAAGACGAACUAAUGCGAAAGCAUUUGCCAAGGAUGUUUUCAUUAAUCAAGAACGAAAGUUAGGGGAUCAAAGACGAUCAGAUACCGUCCUAGUCUUAACUAUAAACGAUACCGACUCGGAUUCAGAUGAAUCAAAAUGUUCAUUUGGGACCGUAGGAGAAAUCAAAGUCUUUGGGUUCUGGGGGGAGUAUGGUCGCAAGGCUGAAACUUAAAGGAAUUGACGGUUUUGCACCACCAUGGAGUGGAGUUUGCGGCUUAAUUUGACAACACUGGGAAACUCAUCAGGGCAAGAAGAUUUUAGGAUUGACAGAUUGAGAGUUCUUUCUUGAUUGGUCUAGUGGUGGUGCAUGGCCGUUCUUA